ACGUAGGCACCAAGCGUUAUCCGGAUUUAUUGGGCGUAAAGAGCUCGUAGGCGGUUCGGUAAGUCGGGUGUGAAAACUCUGGGCUCAACCCAGAGAGGCCACCCGAUACUGCUGUAACUAGAGUGCGGUAGGGGAGCGGGGAAUUCCUGGUGUAGCGGUGAAAUGCGCAGAUAUCAGGAGGAACACCAGCGGCGAAGGCGCCGCUCUGGGCCGUAACUGACGCUGAGGAGCGAAAGCAUGGGUAGCAAACAGGA
rnacentral:rRNA from 1 species